UGGGAGCUUGCUCCCUGAGGUUAGCGGCGGACGGGUGAGUAACACGUGGGUAACCUGCCUGUAAGAUUGGGAUAACUCCGGGAAACCGGAGCUAAUACCGGAUAACAUUUUGAACCGCAUGGUUCGAAAUUGAAAGAUGGUUUCGGCUAUCACUUACAGAUGGACCCGCGGCGCAUUAGCUAGUUGGUGAGGUAACGGCUCACCAAGGCGACGAUGCGUAGCCGACCUGAGAGGGUGAUCGGCCACACUGGGACUGAGACACGGCCCAGACUCCUACGGGAGGCAGCAGUAGGGAAUCUUCCGCAAUGGACGAAAGUCUGACGGAGCAACGCCGCGUGAACGAUGAAGGCCUUCGGGUCGUAAAGUUCUGUUGUUAGGGAAGAACAAGUACCAGAGUAACUGCUGGUACCUUGACGGUACCUAACCAGAAAGCCACGGCUAACUACGUGCCAGCAGCCGCGGUAAUACGUAGGUGGCAAGCGUUGUCCGGAAUUAUUGGGCGUAAAGCGCUCGCAGGCGGUUUCUUAAGUCUGAUGUGAAAGCCCACGGCUCAACCGUGGAGGGUCAUUGGAAACUGGGAAACUUGAGUGCAGAAGAGGAGAGUGGAAUUCCACGUGUAGCGGUGAAAUGCGUAGAGAUGUGGAGGAACACCAGUGGCGAA
rnacentral:rRNA from 1 species